rnacentral:pre_miRNA from 1 species
AUAAUACUCCCUCCGUCCGGAAUUACUUGUCAUCAAAAUGGAUGUGUCUAGAACUAAAAUACAUCUAGAUACAUCCAUUUCAAUGAAAAGUAUUUUCAGACGGAGGGAGUAGUAG